UGAGAGGUCAAGAUUUUUAAUGAAUUUUCAUUUAUAGUUUGUUUAUUUUUUAAUAAUUCUGAUAUUAUUAAAUUUCUUUAUUUAUAUUUAGGUACCUUAUGACUUUAAAAAAUUACAUGCGAAAUAGAAGUCAUCCCGAGAGUUCAAUAGCAGAAGGUUAUUUAGUAGAAGAAUGCUCGACUUUUUGUUCACGUUAUCUGACAAAUAUUGAGACGAGAUUCGAUAGGCCCCAAAGGAAUUCCGAUAAUGUGCUUGAUGGAGAGGAAGUGAAUGAUUUUGGUGCACAAGGUCGUGCCUUGGGAAAACAAAAGUUCAUUAAUCUAGAUGAGAUGACUUUGGUGCAAGCUCAUCGGUAUGUUUUGUUCAAUUAUCAUGGAGCAGAACCAUUCAUUGAAAAACAUAAGAGAUUUCUUAAGAUGAGGCAGCGCUAUUUAAAACCAAGACAAUUAGAGAAAAUAUCUCAUGAUUUAUUUCACAAAUGGUUUAAUGAAUGUGUAAGUAUUUGACUUUUGUGUAUGUGUUGGUGUAUUAUAGGUUUAUGAAAAAUUACCUUAUUAUAUAAGUUAUAUCUUUAUGAAUAUAGUUGCGAGAUAGUGAGGAUCCAAUUCCUAAUGAGCUGAGGUGGCUAGCACAAGGUCCAAACCCCGUCGCGAAAAGGUUUAAGAAGUUUGUGAUCAAUGGUUUGAAGUUUCAUGUUAGAGAUAUUGAGAGACGGAGAAAGACUCAGAACAGUGGAGUUGUCAUAAAGGCAUUGACAUCUAGUUAUGCAAGAGCCACCGAUCAAAAUCCCGUCACAGGAGAUAUUCAGUACUAUGGUGUGCUGACUGAUGUCAUUGAGUUAAAUUACAAUGUAAAUAGGAAGGUGGUAUUGUUUAAGUGUGAUUGGUUUGAUGUCUUGUCCAAGGGUAGAGGAAUAAAUGAGGAUGAUUUUCGAUUUAAGCUUGUUAAUUCGUCACGAUCAUUGGGAAUAGAUGAACCUUUCAUUUUAGCAUCUUAAGCUGAACAAGUAUUCUAUGUUGAUGAUCCCAUUGACAAUGAGUGGAAAGUGGUUAUUGGUGCAAAACCGCGAGACCUUUAUGAUAUGCCAGAGCAUGAUAUUGAAUCUUAUCAAGUUCAGGAGCCAUUUCAUGCACAACAUGUGGAUAACGACUUGGAUGUACCUGAUGAUAGCACGUUUUGGACAAGAGCUGAUUUGCUUGGAACAACUAUAGAAGAAGAUGAUGAUGUUGAUGAGGACCUUUAUGAAGAUGAGAUUUAGGAGGAUUCCAUAUCUACUACUCAAUGGAUAUGAAACGUCUUUUUUGGAUGUCAAAUGUCUUUUUUUUUUUUUUUUUUUUUUUUUUUUUUUUUUUCAUAUUACAAGCUCAAAUUGACUAUAUAUAUAUAUAUAUAUAUAUAUGCUGCUUUGACAAUAAUAUUGCAGUAUCAUAUUUUGUAGCAUGCACAUGUACGCUUCCCAUGAAAACUGAUUUAUUUUUUUUGUGUGCUUAUAUAUUUUUAAUAUGUUUUGAUCUAUUCUUGGCACAUUAUUGUAUAAGUGCAAUGAAUGAUUUUUACCAAAAUAGAAUGGUUUUAUAUAAUUUCCAUUGGACAACCAAAAAUACCCUAAAGUUUUGAGGUAUUUUUUAUUUCUUUUUAUUGAUUUUUCUUGGAUUUUGCCUUUUUUAAACAAUUUGAUUGCAUUCUCUUAAAUGAAUUCUCACUUUUUUGUUUGCUUUUCCAGGAAGGAUAAAUAAUAAGCUGACAAUGAAACGAACGGUUAGUGAAGUGGAAAAAGUGAGUGAACAAAAUACCGAAGCUUCAACAUCAAAAUCAUCCCAACCACCACCGAAGAAGAGACGGGGCCCGACACGAUGCAAGAAUGUCGUAAACGCGACAACCUUAUUACCAUUAAGGGAAAGUAUGAUGUGGGAAUUAUGUCAAAAUAGUGGACAUUAUCCUCCAUCGGAAAAAAAAUGGAGGGAGUACAAGUGUGAAUUAAAAAAUGAAGACAACUCGGUUAGGGAUACAGAUGCAAAAAGAUUGGCAAACCCACCACUUGAUGUUGAAAAAGAGCAUUGGGAAUUUUUGGUUAGGCAUUGGGGUACACCUAUGG